AGCUUUAUAUUCAAAAAUGAUAUAAAAUUGCAAAUUUUAAGGAGUAGAAUAAAUUUAUACUAAGGCUU
rnacentral:tRNA from 1 species